GAUGAACGCUGGCGGCGUGCCUAAUACAUGCCAGUCGAACGAACAGACGGGAAGCUUUCUCCUCUGACGUUAGCGGCGGACGGGGGAGGAACACGUGGAUAAGCUACCUAUAAGACUUGGAGAACUUCGGGAAGCCGGUGCUGAUACCGUAUAAUAUAUUGAACCGCUUGGUUCAAUAGUGAAAGACAGUUUUGGUGUCACUUAUAGAUGGAUUCGCGCCGUAUUAGCUAGUUGGUAAGGUGACGGCGUACCAAGGCAACGAUGCGUAGCCGACCUGAGAGGGUGAUCGGCCACACUGUGACUGAGACACGGUGCAGAAUCCUACGGCAGGAAGCAGUAGGGAAAUUUAUGAAAUGGCCGAAAGCCUGAAGGAGCAACGCCGAGUGAGUAAUGAAGGUCUUCGGAUCGUAAAACUCUGUUAUUAGGAAAGAAGAAAUGUAGAAAUAAAUAUGACCGUCUUGACGGUACCCAACAAGAAAGCGACGGCUAACUACGUG
rnacentral:rRNA from 1 species